rnacentral:rRNA from 1 species
ACCAGACUCCUACGGGAGGCAGCAGUGGGGGAUAUUGCACAAUGGGGGGAACCCUGAUGCAGCGACGCCGCGUGGGUGAAGAAGCGCCUCGGCGCGUAAAGCCCUGUCAGCAGGGAAGAAAAUGACGGUACCUGAAGAAGAAGCCCCGGCUAACUACGUGCCAGCAGCCGCGGUAAUACGUAGGGGGCAAGCGUUAUCCGGAUUUACUGGGUGUAAAGGGGGCGCAGACGGCGAUGCAAGCCAGGAGUGAAAGCCCGGGGCCCAACCCCGGGACUGCUCUUGGAACUGCGUGGCUGGAGUGCAGGAGGGGCAGGCGGAAUUCCUGGUGUAGCGGUGAAAUGCGUAGAUAUCAGGAGGAACACCGGUGGCGAAGGCGGCCUGCUGGACUGCAACUGACGUUGAGGCCCGAAAGCGUGGGGAGCAAACAGGAUUAGAUACCCCGUAGU